rfam:Triticum aestivum genome assembly, contig: Triticum_aestivum_CS42_TGACv1_scaffold_179390_2DS
AAUAUACUCCCUCCGUCCGGAAAAGCUUGUCGCUUAAAUGAAUGUAUCCAGUACUAACUUGAUGCUAAAUACAUCCAUUUGAGGGAUAAGUUUGGGACAAAUUUUUUCGGACGGAGUGAGUACAUG